CCUACGGGAGGCAGCAGUAGGGAAUAUUGGGCAAUGGAGGCAACUCUGACCCAGCCAUGCCGCGUGCAGGAAGAAGGCGUUAUGCGUUGUAAACUGCUUUUAUAUAGGAAGAAAUAGACCUUGCGAGGUAAGUUGACGGUACUAUAUGAAUAAGCACCGGCUAACUCCGUGCCAGCAGCCGCGGUAAUACGGAGGGUGCAAGCGUUGUCCGGAUUUAUUGGGUUUAAAGGGUGCGUAGGCGGUUUAUUAAGUCAGUGGUGAAAGACGGUCGCUCAACGAUUGCAGUGCCAUUGAUACUGGUAGACUUGAGUGGGAUUGAGGUAGCUGGAAUGGAUAGUGUAGCGGUGAAAUGCAUAGAUAUUAUCCAGAACACCAAUUGCGUAGGCAAGUUACUAAGUCUCAACUGACGCUGAGGCACGAAAGUGUGGGUAUCAAACAGGAUUAGAUACCCUGGUAGUCCACACUGUAAACGAUGAUAACUAACUGUUGGCUUUCGGGUCAGUGGUACAGAGAAAUCGUUAAGUUAUCCACCUGGGGAGUACGCCGGCAACGGUGAAACUCAAAGGAAUUGACGGNUGAGAGNGCGAGACGACGACGAGGGAGGAGG
rnacentral:rRNA from 1 species